rnacentral:rRNA from 1 species
AUGGCGCGGUUCAUCCUUCCCAUCCUUCUCCCCUUUUCAACUAUCGGGACAACAACGAAGCAGCACGAGCUCGGCGCAACCCAGACAGUCAUGGAGCCUGGGGGAAACCCUAGCUGGACUUCGACCAAUCUCCCCCGCCGCCUCACGCUGGAGAAGAGGAGGUCGUCGGUGACAAGAACUUUAGGGGCAUCAACACUAGUUGAGCAGGAAAUGAUCGAGCCAGGAGUACGAGAAGCAUGGUUAUUUGAAAUAGCUCUUGUAAAGUUUGAACCUAGAGAAGCUAAUAGAGAAGCUCAUAGUUUAGCCAAAGCUAGUUUAUCUUUUGAUGUGGGGCCCCACAUGUGGCUUCUACAGCCCCCAGAUAUUGCAUACAUGAGCUCUAGAUAUGGUAGUCAAGGGAUGAGGGUGCCAUAUAGGCCUUGCUCGAGAUCUUUAGCAAUUGAGAGCUUAUUUCUAUUCUCAUGGCAGAAGAAAACUAGGGGAGCCACACAGGGAGCACCGCAAGGGGCCAUGAGUCUCGCCAAAAUGAGGAUCAGCAACACUGUCGAAGGUGAGGAAGAGAUGAUCCCUGUCCUCGGAGACGUUAGACCAUGCAGCAUGGUAGAAACUCAUGCCCAUGUCAUCUGGGCCCGAGGAACUAGCCCGCCUUGGCCCAUCCACCAAUUGGGCCCCCUGGUAGAGGUCCACGAGGGAGAAGGCCUAUCUCGUAGCACAGGCCUUGCCAACAAGUGCUUGUGGAAGGGAGUAGGACGACGUCCUUUGCGUGUUCACCAUGACCAAGUCUCCACCGAGAUAAAGUGCCUGGAUAUGAUGUUGGGGAAAAACACAUUGUGCCAUGGGAGAGGUUGCUUCGUAUUAUGUCCAGUAGCUGAUAUUGGCCACAGGCUGGCCCUAGUUUUGCUUUCCUUCCAGUUCCUUGUUGCAUAUUCAAAGAAUUUGCAGCUGGCCAGCAGCUACAGCCGCGUCUUCAGCUUCGGCGACUCGCUCACGGACACCGGGAACGCGGCCAUCCUCCCGGCCACCGCCGGGGGGCCCUCCUCCCACGCGCCGUACGGGGAGACCUACUUCCACCACCCCAGCGGCCGGGCGUCCGACGGCCGGCUCAUCAUCGACUUCAUCGUGGAGUCGCUGGGGUUGCCACAACCAAAGCCGUACCUCGCCGGCGAGACGGCGGAUGACUUCCGGCAUGGUGCGAACUUCGCGGUGGGCGGCGCGACGGCGCUUGACCCGGCGUUCUUGAAGAGCAGAGGGAUAGCGACGUUUGUGCCGGUGUCUCUUAGCAACGAGACGAGCUGGUUCAACAAUGUCUUGGAGCUUCUUGACUCCACGGCGUACGGUGAGACUUUGUUGAUUCUUAUUUGGAUAAAAAUUAGCAAAUCCAUAAUUCUUAUUGAUAGGGAGACUUUACCGGAAACAAAGACAUACAUCAUGAUCCAUGCAUGCCAAACAGGUGCUAUUACUAAACUUUAUAUGAUGGCGAUUGCAGAGUCUGAAGAAACAUCAACGUGA